rnacentral:rRNA from 1 species
AGAGGUUGAACGGCCACAUUGGGACUGAGACACGGCCCAGACUCCUACGGGAGGCAGCAGUGGGGAAUAUUGCACAAUGGGGGAAACCCUGAUGCAGCGACGCCGCGUGGAGGAAGAAGGUCUUCGGAUUGUAAACUCCUGUUGUUGGGGAAGAUAAUGACGGUACCCAACAAGGAAGUGACGGCUAACUACGUGCCAGCAGCCGCGGUAAAACGUAGGUCACAAGCGUUGUCCGGAAUUACUGGGUGUAAAGGGAGCGCAGGCGGGAAGACAAGUUGGAAGUGAAAUCCAUGGGCUCAACCCAUGAACUGCUUUCAAAACUGUUUUUCCUGAGUAGUGCAGAGGUAGGCGGAAUUCCCGGUGUAGCGGUGGAAUGCGUAGAUAUCGGGAGGAACACCAGUGGCGAAGGCGGCCUACUGGGCACCAACUGACGCUGAGGCUCGAAAGUGUGGGUAGCAAACAGGAUUAGAUACCCUGGUAGUCCACACCGUAAACGAUGAUUACUAGGUGUUGGAGGAUUGACCCCUUCAGUGCCGCAGUUAACACAAUAAGUAAUCCACCUGGGGAGUACGACCGCAAGGUUGAAACUCAAAGGAAUUGACGGGGGCCCGCACAAGCAGUGGAGUAUGUGGUUUAAUUCGACGCAACGCGAAGAACCUUACCAAGUCUUGACAUCCUGUGACAGACGUAGAAAUACGUUCUUCCUUCGGGACACAGAGACAGGUAGUGCAUGGUUGUCGUCAGCUCGUGUCGUGAGAUGUUGGGUUAAGUCCCGCAACGAGCGCAACCCUUAUGGUCAGUUACUACGCAAGAGGACUCUGGCCAGACUGCCGUUGACAAAACGGAGGAAGGUGGGGAUGACGUCAAAUCAUCAUGCCCUUUAUGACUUGGGCUACACACGUACUACAAUGGCGUUAAACAAAGAGAAGCAAGACCGCGAGGUGGAGCAAAACUCAGAAACAACGUCCCAGUUCGGACUGCAGGCUGCAACUCGCCUGCACGAAGUCGGAAUUGCUAGUAAUCGUGGAUCAGCAUGCCACGGUGAAUACGUUCCCGGGCCUUGUACACACCGCCCGUCACACCAUGAGAGCCGGGGGGACCCGAAGUCGGUAGUCUAACCGCAAGGAGGACGCCGCCGAAGGUAAAACUGGUGAUUGGGGUGAAGUCGUAACAAGGUAGCCGUAGGAGAACCUGCGGCUG